rfam:Vibrio genomosp. F6 str. FF-238 FF-238_contig_201, whole genome shotgun sequence.
CGUGUGGUGUCCGGCUUAGAUUCGGAUGGCGACACGGCCUAACGAGGU